CUGCGUCUCUAGCUGAAGACACACUAUGGCGAGUGGCAGUCCAGCAGUCAAGAGGGUAGUGGUGUAUCGGAAUGGGGACCCCUUUUCCCCAGGCCACCAGCUGGUGGUGACUCAACGCCGCUUCCCCACCCUGGAAACCUUUCUCUGUGAGGUGACAUCAGCUGUGCAGGCCCCACGGGCUGUGCGAGCCCUCUACACACCCUGCCAUGGGCACCCUGUCACCGACCUGGCAGACCUGCAGAACGGAGGGCAGUAUGUGGCUGCUGGCUUCGAACGAUUCCGCAAGGUCUACUACUUACCCCCUCGAGGGAAGGAUCCAGGUGGGAAGAGCAGCAGACUACCAGGUCCUCCCGUGACUCACUGCCCAUGUGAUGGGACCCUUGGACGGCAGCUACCUGCAGGUUCCCCUCGCUGCAUCUAUGUGUUCAGGAAUGGGGACCUGUUAAGUCCCCCAUUUAGCCUGAAGCUGUCCCAAACUGCCAGUGAGGACUGGGAAACAGUGUUGGCACUCCUGACAGAGAAGGCCAAAUUACAGAGCGGGGCUGUGUACAAACUCUGUACCCUGGAGGGACUCCCGUUGUCAGCAAGGGAGGCUCUGGUAAGUGGCCAUUACUAUGUGGCUGUUGGAGAGGAUGAGUUCAAGGCCCUCCCCUACCUGGAGCUGCUGGUGCCUAGCCCCUCACUGCCCAGGGGCUGCUGGCAUCCCCCAGACCCAAAGUCUAGGACUCACAAGCAGGGGCUCCCACAGGCACCAAGGGCAUUCAAGCUGGUACUGGGUGUAGAGAAGGUAAGAACAGCCAGUACCGACAGCCCAAGCCCAGUGCACCUUCUACAGGCCCAGGGCCACAGGGCAAAGGCAACCCAGCCCUCGCCACAGGAACCAAGCCGAAUUGAGCAAUCUGCUUUCUAUGCCAGACCCCAGCAGGCCAUUCAGACAACAAGCGUGCUCCCCACUCUCUCGUUUCCAUCAGAAGUCAAGGGAGUGUAUGGGGCUCCCCACCCAAGGAAGGAGACAUCAGGGGCCCAGGAUGUAGCAGACGAUGAAGACAUCUGCACAGAGGAACCUUUGGAUCAGAGGGCAGCACAGAUGGUGGAAGAGGCCCUGGCCCCAGAAAACCUGCCUGAGGCUGGGGCAGCAUCAGCCUCAGCCCCUGCUGCUCUGCCUUGAGAGCCACAACUCCAGCCAGGAACUGGGGGCCGCCACUCUGCAGUCACCUCUUCUCCUCAGCCUCCAGCAGCUGUUCCUGGGGAGCCACCACCUCACCUCCCCUGGGCCCACAGAUGAAGUUACAGCAAAGCUGAUUCAAACCCAGGUCUCCUGACUCGAAAUUCAGUGCUCCCUCAGGAUUCCAGCAUGAAAACUUGAACUACAAGGACCACCCCGGUUUGCUGAUAAGAAUGAGGUCUUUGCACUCAAAGAGAGCUCCUAAGAUUUCAAGGACAUCUGGACAAA